rnacentral:rRNA from 1 species
CAGGCCUAACACAUGCAAGUCGAACGCUCCGCAAGGGGAGUGGCGCACGGGAGAGUAACGCGUGGGAACCUACCUAUUGGUUCGGGACAACACCGGGAAACUGGUGCUAAUACCGGAUAAGCCCGAGAGGGGAAAGAUUUAUCGCCGAUAGAUGGGCCCGCGUUAGAUUAGCUAGUUGGUGAGGUAAGAGCUCACCAAGGCGACGAUCUAUAGCUGGUCUGAGAGGAUGAUCAGCCUCACUGGGACUGAGACACGGCCCAGACUCCUACGGGAGGCAGCAGUGGGGAAUAUUGGACAAUGGGGGCAACCCUGAUCCAGCCAUGCCGCGUGAAUGAUGAAGGCCUUCGGGUUGUAAAGUUCUUUUGGUAGGGACGAUGAUGACGGUACCUACAGAAUAAGCUCCGGCUAACUUCGUGCCAGCAGCCGCGGUA